GAGUCGGAGCAACGCUUGAAAGACGCGCAGAUAGAUGUCAGAUUCUCCCGUAGGGAGGUCUGGCAAGGUGAUAGUUUAGGCGGCGGAGUUGUACGCGGGCCAGUCUGUGUUACAGCUUUGCCGUCAGGGUAGCUCCUUACGAGCUGCCCAAACUGAGGACCAGUUUUCCUCACAGGAGGAGGCUGGUGGGGCCUAGGGUGUUAGGGGUACAACGGUUGGCUCUUUCACAGAACGGGUGUGUUCCGUUCUGCGUUUGAGUCUGCCGCCUUUGGGCGUCUCCCUCUGAGAUGUCGGUUAGGAUUUCUUUUUUUUAUAUGUCCGUGUGUGUAACUGUUGCCUUUUAGCCUGUUGUGUUCCUGAGCAGCAAGAAGAGGAGGCUGUGGUGACCCGCCCGAUGCGGAAGGCUUCUGGGCCCUGUCGGCGGGGGCGCACCUCUCUGGCUGACUGGUUGACCAGGCUUUGACCAGGUGGCCGGGGAGGCGCAUCCUCGCUGGGCGGGGUCUGGGGGCCCUCCGUCUUGGGGAGGUCGCUGCAGCAGGAGGAGGUAACUACUGCUGGUUUUGUAAGGCAUUGUGGUUGAGAGCACCUUGCAGCUGUAACGCGAAUUUCGUUCCGUAAUAAACAAUGUACCGCCAUGCUGCCUGUCCUUCCUCCCUCCCAGCACUGUGUACGUCUGUGUGUGUGUGUGUGUGUGUCUUAAUUCUCCCUCACUGCACUGUGCGUACGUCUGUGUGUGUGUGUUGCUCUGUCUCUGUCUCUCAAUCUCUCUCUCUGUCUCUGUCUCUCUCUGUCUGUCUCUCUAUCUCUCAAUCUCUCUGUGUCUUUCUCUCUCUCUAGUUAGUAAAGAACAGGCAACAAGAAACCUCCAUGGCUGAGCUUCAACAACAGAACACCUCAUCACCGUUGAUGAGGCUCCACGCCCCAGACCACAGCCAUGUUAGCCUCGAUAAUAGUCCUCGGCGCACUUAUUCCGAGACGUCCUGGUGAGUGAGUGCCCUAAUUGCCUUCAUGGAUAAUGUCACAGGUAUCCAAUGGUUCAGGUGUGAUGUCAGAUAUUUUUGUUAUUGUGUCGUAAAUAUCCAGUGAUUAUUUCCGACUCGCUGAAUGUUCAUCGCACACAGUUUGUCUUUGAGUAGAAACACUGAUUAAUAUCCAUGAUCGGUUAGAUUAUGAACUCCCUCGAUUUCAGACUGGAGAGCUACACAACACCGGUCAUCCGCUGAGUGGUUGAAUUCCUGGUCUACCGGCCCCUGGAGGAGUGGUCGAUUGCCUGGUCUACUGUGGAUAUGAGUGGUUGAUUCCCUGGUCUACCCCUGGAUGACGCGGCUGUUCCUAUGCAGGGGAAGACUCACACAAGUGAUAAGCACCUGUCGGACCUGGAGACUCCCCCCUGAGCCUGACGGUGGAGCUGUGGGCCCUGCACCAGACCCCCACACACCCCCGCACCACCCACAGCAGGGGAGGGCAUUGAGACUCCCCCCACAGGCUAAGACAGGGAGGGACUUGAAGAUCCGGGUUUUUGUCAUCUGCACAGGAAUUGACACAUGACCCGCUGCGUGUUCUGCUGGAGAAAAACACUGCAUGACUGUUGUUGGGAGAAGACACAGCAUGAAGGCUUCCAGGAGCUGCAAGACAUCCUUGUGGUCAGGGCGCCUGGUCAUUAUGAUGGAGCGUCGGCAGAGAUCGAGCUGGCGGAAGGUUGGCGGCCGGGUCAAGCUCACCACCGACAAGGAUUUCCGUGACGUGCGCUCGGCCAAUGUUGCUGACCUCGGCUAUGACAAUCUUACUAAGGUGGUGGAGGUGGGGAACGGCAUCUACAUUGACGACGGACUCAAGGAGAUCCCUGAGACUACUACUACUACUAUUACUAUCCUCUAUACUGCUAUGUGUACUAUUAAAUCCUCUUUACUGCUACUAUGUGUACUAUUGAAUCCCUUAUAUAGUACUUCCAUGACAGCUGAUCGGUGAUACUACUUCUACAACUGCUAUGACCACUCAGUCCCUGGUAAGUACAAUGUCAUUAUCAUCAUUAUUUGGGUUAAGGUUCAUUUAAUUCAAUCUUCCUGAGCGGUUGGACGCUUUAUGGCUCUCCUCCAUUCUACUCUGUCUUCCGCCCAAUGCUUAUACAGUCCUAUCAAUCCCAAGUCUUCCUGUACACACCUUCUCCACGUUUUCCUAGGUCUACCAACUGGUCUCCUUCCUUCUACCUCCAUUCUACUCUGUCUUCUGCCCAAUGCUCAUCCAAUCCCAUCACUUCCAAGUCUUCCUGUACACACCUUCUCCACGUUUUCCUAGGUCUACCAACUGGUCUCCUUCCUUCUACCUCCAUUGUGCUCUGUCUUCUGCCCAAUGCUCAUCCAAUCCCAUCACUUCCAAGUCUUCCUGUACACACCUUCUCCACGUUUUUCUAGGUCUACCAACUGGUCUCCUUCCUUCUACCUCCAUUGUGCUCUGUCUUCUGCCCAAUGCUCAUCCAAUCCCAUCACUUCCAAGUCUUUCUGUACACACCUUCUCCAUGUUUUCCUAGGUCUACCAACUGGUCUCCUUCCUUCUACCUCCAAUCUCUCCAACACUCCCAGCACUGUAUCCUCCCCUGCUCUCUUUACAUGUCCAAACCAUUGGAGUCUUUCCCUUCUGAGCACUGUUUCCAGGUCCUCUACUAAAACUCCCAGCACUGUGUCCUCCCCUGCUCUCUUUACAUGU